rnacentral:rRNA from 1 species
CCUACGGGAGGCUGCAGUGGGGGAUAUUGCACAAUGGGGGGAACCCUGAUGCAGCGACGCCGCGUGGGUGAAGAAGCGCCUCGGCGCGUAAAGCCCUGUCAGCAGGGAAGAAAAUGACGGUAACUGACGAUGAAGCCCCGGCUAACGACGUGCCAGCAGCCGCGGUAAUACGUCGGGGGCAAGCUUUCUCCGGAGUUACUGGGUGUAAAGGGGGCGCAGACGGCGAUGCAAGUCAGGGGUGAAAGCCCGGGGCUCAACCCCGGGACUUCUCUUGAAACUGGGUGGCUGGAGUGCAGGAGGGGCAGGCGGAAUUCCAUGUGUAGCGGUGAAAUGCGUAGAUAUCAGGAGGAACACCGGUGGCGAAGGCGGCCUUCUGGUCUGCAACUGACGUUGAGGUCCGAAAGCGUGGGGAGCAAACAGGAUUAGAUACCCUUGUAGUA